rnacentral:rRNA from 1 species
UACGGAGGGGGCUAGCGUUGUUCGGAAUUACUGGGCGUAAAGCGCACGUAGGCGGCUUUGUAAGUUAGAGGUGAAAGCCCGGGGCUCAACUCCGGAAUUGCCUUUAAGACUGCAUCGCUCGAAUUGUGGAGAGGUAAGUGGAAUUCCGAGUGUAGAGGUGAAAUUCGUAGAUAUUCGGAAGAACACCAGUGGCGAAGGCGACUUACUGGACACAUAUUGACGCUGAGGUGCGAAAAGCGUGGGGAGCAAACAGGAUUAGAUACCCGGGGU